UAAUAUUUGUAAGUACUCAAAAUAAUACAAAUAAAAUUUUAGUUUAAACAUAAUAUAUCUAGUCAUAACAAAUUGCAACAUAUUGGUUCUUCAGAUUAACUUAUCAUUAUCCAUCUAACUUUUUACCAUCAUGAUCACGAGCAUCGUUAUCAACAAUCUCAUCAUCAAAAUCACCGACAUCAUGAUCACCAAUCUCAUCAUCAUUAUUAUUAUUCUCAUCUUAAUGAAUUUGAUCACUAGUAUAUGGCAUGGGUUUAAAGUUCAAGCUAUUCAUCAGUUGUUUUAUCAAGUGGUUGUUGCGCUCAACUGCUCUGUUUGUAUUAGUCAAUUCCUCUCGAAGUUGAUCUCUUCCAUUUCUCAUUUCUUCAAAUUCAUGUCUUUGAACCCACUCUACCGAUGAAGAACAUGAUCCACGAUAAUUAGGUCUCCCUAAUAAUACAGUAGAUUCCAUUUCGAUACCAUAUUCUCGUCCACUUUUUAUUUCAGCAACCACACACCACACCUCUAAUUCAUUUGAUGGAGGAGUUCCUUGUGAAGUUGUUUCUUGGGUCAAUUCUUCAAACCUACGUUUAAAUUUUUCCCGUCAACAUAAAUAUAAAGCUAAUUAAUAUUUUAAAACACUUUAUUUCGAUCUUAUAUGAAGAUAAAAAAAACCAACAUAGAAAAAUAAAUAAUAUACACUUUAAAGUUGAAAGCUCUGACAUGAACAUAUUCCGAUCUUUUAUCAACCCAAGUUUUAUCCUUGCCACGUUUAUGUGUGUGGAGAAACAAAUUUGAAUGACUAGGAGGAAUGUCAUUCAAAUCCGUCUAACAACAUAUAAAAACUCAACAUUCAAAUCCAUUCAAAUAUUAAACUCCAAACCAAAUUAUUAUAAAUCUAAUCUGGUUUUCAAUUUUAAUUGGGUGACCGGUAUUCAUACCAUAGUUGAGGAAGCUAGCUAAAUGGUUUUCAAACUUAACAUAUUGUAUUUGCCCAUUUGACUAUUCUUGCAAAUGAAAUGAGUUUGUUUCGUCCCAAAAAAAUAUGGAUUACACCGUUAAAUAACCCAUUCAAUUUGACAAGUUAGAAAAUGCAAAAGAACCCAGAGUAAAUAACAAUUCGGGAGCUGGAAAUUUUGCCUCAACUACAAAAUAUAUUUCCCUUAAAUUUUGCCUCAACUCCAGAACAUAUUUCCUUUAAAUUUGCUGACUCAGAUAAUCAUACCAAAAUAAACCAACGUUCUCACAUUCAGCAAAUUUAAGAUUAUCUUAGUCAAAAUCAUAACAAUAAAUUUGGACACCCAAAACAAUAGCUUGGUUAAAACCAUCUACAUUGUAUAACUUCUAGCUGCAUCACAAAAUGGAGAAAACUGACUACUAACCAUGCCAAGCCCCUAGUCAUCCAUAACAAGGUCCCUGAUAGUUAAGUUAGUUUCAGUACUAGUAACAAUAAUAAACAGCUAAAUGCAAACCAAACAAAGAGAAAAGAUAAGCAAGUUGGUUGACUGGAAAACAUACACGAAUAAAGGAAAAAACUAAUAAGUCUAAUUAGUACUCUAAUCAAUAUAAUUUUGGUUGACAUUUACAUAAUUUACUAGGAUUGUAGUUUUCUCCAACAUACUAUGAACACUUUUGUAAAAUACACGCUAUCUUAUAUACAAUACUUAUGCUAUCAAUUGUCAUGUGAUAUGAUUAGAUUUACUUGAUAUAAAACUCAUACGAUUUAUUGAGUGUCACAAAGUAAGCAUAUUUAACCAUGAAAAUAAUAGUAAGAAUCUAAUAUACACAUUUCCUUGUUAGUGUAAUAUUAAGAAUCUUCUUCAAAUAAGCUGAUAUCAUAAUUUGUAGUAGGUUAAUGCGAAUAUUAAUAUUAAUAUACACACAAAUAUAUGUAUUAAUAUCCAGAGAAUUGUCUACAUUGAUUCCAAUAUCAUUCAUUCAAAGUUAAUAUAGAAUCAGAGAGUUAGCAUAUUUAAUUAUGAAAAUAAUAGUAAGAAAACAUGUAGUUUAGUAAUUACCAACUGCAACAGUAACACAUUACCCCCUUUAGUUAAAAUUAUGUGCAUAUUAUCAAACACCUUAUAUGCAGAAUUUCUUUACCCCUUUCGGUUAAAUAAAUUCAAAAUGAUUGCAUCACAAAAAAACAACAAUAAUGAAGCAUAAUUAGAAAAUUAGAAUAUAGAUUCCUUAUCUUUUGGUUCACGAUAGCCGACGAGACGGUAAACAAUGAGGGCUUCACGCCACAGCGGUUGGUGUCACGUCGUAGUUGCAGAGGUUGGUAUGAGAAGGGAUUAGCAAAGAAGGAUGGUUUUAGGAUUUGUGGUGGGUUGAGAAAGAAAAAGGAACUGGUUUUUUUUUUUAGAAAAAUUGAUUGAAAGCAUCAAGAGAACCCAAGACUUGGUAGGAAUAGUGAAAGAAAAGAAAGAGAAGUGAACGAAAGAAUUGAGUCCGAUAAAGAAUAAGUGUUUCUUUGACUUAAUUGCUUGAACCAUGUAGGCUGGGAGUCGAUUAGUUUGAGUUGUGGUGUCGAGAAAGAACGGUUGAAGGAAAUGGGGUUUUAGAGUUUG
rnacentral:lncRNA from 1 species